ensembl:lncRNA
CCAGACCAAAAUAAAAGUCUUUUUACCUAAAAUCAUAGGCUCUUUCCGAAAUCACCCCUACACCAAACUCACUUUGACUUGCAAUACAGAAAAAGCAACAUGACAAAGAAUUGUGAUAAAAUCGAAAUAUUUCAAAAAUAAUAAUAAUAAUAAAACUAUUAUAUGAUAUUUUUGUUAUAUUGCCCACCCCUACUUGUCACAUGUUCAGAACAAAUUAGGUUAUAACGUUUAUAAUGUUUGUGUUAAACCUCUGUAUAAACCAUAUUCCCACAUACCAUAUUGGUUAUAAAGAAUGUAUUGAUAUAUUGUACAAAGUUAAUAUAAUAGCUAGCCCUUAUAGUAAUUAAAUUGUACUAUUCUUAAUUCCAAUUAUUACCACAUAAAAAACUACUAGUGAUACAUGAGUGUAUGAGUUUAAAUAUGUGAGCUGAAAUUAUGUUUUUAAUUUUUGUUUGUUUUUUAGUUACAAGGACAACAUUUUCUUGUAGGUAAUUUAAUAAUUGUUUAUAUUUGUAAGUUUUUUUGUAUUUAAUAUUUAAUGGAGUUCCAGGGUGCGUCAAUUGAGGCACAGUCAUGCUAUAUUGAAGACACUUCAGGAACAAUAAAAGUUCAACUGUGGGAAAGUUUGAUAGGCAAACUAGAAUUUGGGUCUACCUACAAAAUGACUGAUGUCAGUACGAGAGUGUUCGCUGGAAGCAUGUACUUGACGACCAGCCGCAGAAGUGAAAUCGAACAAGUGGCCGCUCUCAAAGGACUGAAUGAAGUUAUUCAAUUCAGAAUUGAUGAAGGUGAAGUCAUUGUGCUUGAAUGGAGCAUUACAUCAGUUGAGGUUGCAGUUUCACGUAGGUGUUCACGAUGCCAGGCUUGGCAACAAGAUUUUGAAACACAAGGUCAAUUCCAUCGUUGUUUUUGUUGCAAGAGACUGCAACAUGUUCAAGCAUUCCAACCAACCGUCAAUGCUGCAGUGACCUUUGUUGGUGAUUUUGGUGAGCGGGAGUUGACCUUGCCAAACUCGAUUAUUAAAAGGUGUGUGCAGAGGGAGAACCUUUCUGAUCUGUUAAAUGAAGCACAAGAUUUUGAAGAGCACUUGAUGACGAACAUGGUGUUCAGGAUGUCACGCAGCGUGAUGUUGUGAUCUGUAUGGAGAAAGUGCCUGAAAGCAGCAUGGUGCAAGACAUACAUCCAGAAGAACAGAUGGAUGGGUCUGAUGCAGAAUUGGUUGCAGUGGACAGUGUGGAUGUAGAAGUACUUGCAGGCAGAGGUGAGUAGUAAUGAAGUUCAUUCAAAAUAAAGCAUGUAUGCUACAGUGUAAAAAAAAAAAA